rnacentral:lncRNA from 1 species
GGUGUUUUCUGGAGAAUGGGGUUCAUUAUUUUGGCAAAAAGGAUGUCGGGGUUCAAAUGCAGUGAUCUGGGAUCAUUGGCGCGAGAAAAUUUCGGGGUUCAAGAAAAGGAAAAAGAGAGCAAUUAUCAGAAAAUUUUGGGGUUCAAGAAAAUAAAAAAAUAAAAUAAAAUAAAAUAAAAAAAGACAGAAAGAAAAGAAGAGAUAAUAAUCCCCAGC